GAUCCUGGCUCAGGAUGAACGCUGGCGGCGUGCUUAACACAUGCAAGUCGAGCGAAGCAGUUAAGAAGAUUCUUCGGAUGAUUCUUGACUGACUGAGCGGGCGGACGGGUGAGGUAACGCGUGGGUGACCUGCCCCAUACCGGGGGAUAACAGCUGGAAACGGCUGCUAAUACCGCAUAAGCGCACAGAGCUGCAUGGCUCGGUGUGAAAAACUCCGGUGGUAUGGGAUGGG
rnacentral:rRNA from 1 species